AUUGAACGCUGGCGGCAGGCUUAACACAUGCAAGUCGAACGAGUGGCGGACGGGUGAGUAAUGUUUGGGAAUCUGGCUUAUGGAGGGGGAUAACUACUGGAAACUGUAGCUAAUACCGCGUACCAUAGGAUGAGCCCAAGUGGGAUUAGGUAGUUGGUGGGGUAAAGGCUCAACAAGCCGACGAUCUCUAGCUGGUCUGAGAGGAUGACCAGCCACACUGGGACUGAGACACGGCCCAGACUCCUACGGGAGGCAGCAGUGGGGAAUAUUGCACAAUGGGCGCAAGCCUUAUGCAGCCAUGCCGCGUGUAUGAAGAAGGCCUUCGGGUUGUAAAGUACUUUCAGCGGGGAGGCGUUACCCGCAGAAGAAGCACCGGCUAACUCCGUGCCAGCAGCCGCGGUAAUAC
rnacentral:rRNA from 1 species